GAUGAACGCUGGCGGCGUGCCUAAUACAUGCGAGUCGAGCGAACAGAUGAGAAGCUUGCUUCUCUGAUGUUAGCGGCGGACGGGUGAGUAACACGUGGGUAACCUACCUAUAAGACUGGGAUAACUCCGGGAAACUGGGGCUAAUACCGGAUAAUAUUUUGAACCGCAUGGUUCAAUAGUGAAAGACGGUUUCGGCUGUCACCUAUAGAUGGACCCGCGCCGUAUUAGCUAGUUGGUAAGGUAACGGCUUACCAAGGCGACGAUACGUAGCCCACCUGAGAGGGUGAUCGGCCACACUGGAACUGAGACACGGUCCAGACUCCUACGGGAGGCAGCAGUAGGGAAUCUUCCGCAAUGGGCGAAAGCCUGACGGAGCAACGCCGCGUGAGUGAUGAAGGUCUUCGGAUCGUAAAACUCUGUUGUUAGGGAAGAACAAAUUUGUUAGUAACUGAACAAGUCUUGACGGUACCUAACCAGAAAGCCACGGCUAACUACGUGCCAGCCGCCGCCGUAA
rnacentral:rRNA from 1 species